rnacentral:rRNA from 1 species
GACGAACGCUGGCGGCGUGCUUAACACAUGCAAGUCGAACGGAAAGGCCCUGCUUUUGUGGGGUGCUCGAGUGGCGAACGGGUGAGUAACACGUGAGUAACCUGCCCUUGACUUUGGGAUAACUUCAGGAAACUGGGGCUAAUACCGGAUAGGAGCUCCUGCUGCAUGGUGGGGGUUGGAAAGUUUCGGCGGUUGGGGAUGGACUCGCGGCUUAUCAGCUUGGUGGUGGGGUAGUGGCUUACCAAGGCUUUGACGGGUAGCCGGCCUGAGAGGGUGACCGGCCACAUUGGGACUGAGAUACGGCCCAGACUCCUACGGGAGGCAGCAGUGGGGAAUAUUGCACAAUGGGCGGAAGCCUGAUGCAGCACCGCCGCGUGCGGGAUGACGGCCUUCGGGUUGUAAACCGCUUUCGCCUGUGACGAAGCGUGAGUGACGGUAAUGGGUAAAGAAGCACCGGCUAACUACGUG